CAGCACCCCGAGUGGUCGGGACGAUUAUUGGGCCUAAAGCAUCCGUAGCCGGUUCUACAAGUCUUCCGUUAAAUCCACCUGCUUAACAGAUGGGCCGCGGAGGAUACUAUAAGACUAGGAGGCAGGAGAGGCAAGCGGUACUCAGUGGGUAGGGGUAAAAUCCGUUGAUCCAUUGAAGACCACCAGUGGCGAAGGCGGCUUGCCAGAAUGCGCUCGACGGUGAGGGAUGAAAGCUGGGGGAGCAAACCGGAUUAGAGACCCGCGUAGUCC
rnacentral:rRNA from 1 species